rnacentral:rRNA from 1 species
GAUCAUGGCUCAGGAUGAACGCUGGCGGCGUGCCUAACACAUGCAAGUCGAGCGAGAAACUUCUAAAUGAAGCUUCGGUCGAAUUUAAAAGCGGAAAGCGGCGGACGGGUGAGUAACGCGUAGGCAACCUGCCCUUUGCAGAGGGAUAGCAUCUGGAAACGGAUAUUAAUACCUCAUAAUACUAAACUAUCACAUGAUAGAGUAGUCAAAGAUUUAUCGGCAAAGGAUGGGCCUGCGU